rnacentral:rRNA from 1 species
UAGGGAAUCUUCGGCAAUGGGGGCAACCCUGACCGAGCAACGCCGCGUGAGUGAAGAAGGUUUUCGGAUCGUAAAGCUCUGUUGUAAGAGAAGAACGUGUGUGAGAGUGGAAAGUUCACACAGUGACGGUAACUUACCAGAAAGGGACGGCUAACUACGUGCCAGCAGCCGCGGUAAUACGUAGGUCCCGAGCGUUGUCCGGAUUUAUUGGGCGUAAAGCGAGCGCAGGCGGUUUAAUAAGUCUGAAGUUAAAGGCAGUGGCUUAACCAUUGUUCGCUUUGGAAACUGUUACACUGGAGUGCAGAAGGGGAGAGUGGAAUUCCAUGUGUAGCGGUGAAAUGCGUAGAUAUAUGGAGGAACACCGGUGGCGAAAGCGGCUCUCUGGUCUGUAACUGACGCUGAGGCUCGAAAGCGUGGGGAGCAAACAGG